rnacentral:rRNA from 1 species
GACGAACGCUGGCGGCAUGCCUAAUACAUGCAAGUCGAGCGAACAGAUGAAGUGCCUGCACUUCUGACGUUAGCGGCGAACGGGUGAGUAACACGUAAGGAAUCUACCUAUAAGCGGGGGAUAACAUUCGGAAACGGGUGCUAAUACCGCAUAAUAUCUUCUUCCGCAUGGAAGAAGAUUGAGAGACGGCUCUGCUGUCACUUAUAGAUGACCUUGCGGUGCAUUAGUUAGUUGGUGGGGUAACGGCCUACCAAGACGAAGAUGCAUAGCCGACCUAAGAGGGUGAUCGGCAACAUUGGGACUGAGACACGGCCCAAACUCCUACGGGAGGCAGCAGUAGGGAAUCUUCCGCAAUGGGCGAAAGCCUGACGGAGCAAUGCCGCGUGAGUGAAGAAGGCCUUCGGGUCGUAAAACUCUGUUAUAAGAGAAGAACAAAUUGUAGAGUAACUGCUACAGUCUUGCCGGUAUCUUAUCAGAAAGCCACGGCUAACUACGUGCCAGCCGCCGCCGUAA